rnacentral:rRNA from 1 species
GACGAACGCUGGCGGCGUGCUUAACACAUGCAAGUCGAACGGAAAGACCCUGCUUUUGUGGGGUGCUCGAGUGGCGAACGGGUGAGUAACACGUGAGUAACCUGCCCUUGACUUUGGGAUAACUUCAGGAAACUGGGGCUAAUACCGGAUAGGAGCUCCUGCUGCAUGGUGGGGGUUGGAAAGUUUCGGCGGUUGGGGAUGGACUCGCGGCUUAUCAGCUUGUUGGUGGGGUAGUGGCUUACCCAGGCUUUGACGGGUAGCCGGCCUGGGAGGGUGACCGGCCACAUGGGGACUGAGAUACGGCCCAGUCUCGUACGGGAGGCAGCAGUGGGGAAUAUGGCACAAUGAGCGGAAGCCUGAUGCAGCAACGCCGCGUGCGUGAUGACGGCCUGCGGGGUGUAAACCGCUUUCGCCUGUGACGAAGCGGGAGUGACGGUAAUGGGUAAAGAAGCACCGGCUAACUACGUG